rnacentral:lncRNA from 1 species
CGUUGUAGCUCGCCCCGGUCGCCUUGUCCACCAGGACUUGACCCGGAUAACCCGGGUAUGCCCCGGUUCCGAAAAUGCCCGUGCAGGCAGAGACCGCCUCGAGCGGCGCGGUGGCCGGCCCUUGGAAGUAUCCAUUGUUGUACGGAUUGGUUACUGUUCCCGCCAAGAGAGUGGCGAGGUUUAUGAUCAUGCCGUCAACUCCGACGUCGCCGUUUGGGGCCACUAACGGCGGGGUUUGCGGGCCGUAAAUGGGCUGGUGAAAGGGCCAGGCGCAUUGGCCGGGGCACUGGACCACCGAGUUCCCAACCCACACGUAAGCCGACUUCUUGUCCCGGGCGGAGCCGUGGGUACCGCAGCGGCUACAGAAGCCGUCGACCGCCACGUCACUGGCAGUCAAAACCACGUUGAUGGCCUUCAACGCGUUGACUUUGCCGGCGAGGGCUACCAGGUGCCGGUUGCCGAGGGACUUUCCGAGAGAGUAGGCCUCGUGGAGGAUUUGCCUGCCGACGACGAGAUUGGAGGCGCCGCCCUUGUACUUCUCGGUGGUUUUCCACCAGGAGGAGGCAGAGGGGAGUGGGCCCCGCCGGGGGGCGAGGGAGUGGAUGAAGUCGACGAUGAUGGAGCGUUGGAUUGGGGUGAAGUGGCCGUACCAGAUGAGAUUGACGGUGAUGUUGCCUUUGAGAAGAGCGCCGUUGUGGU